GAGAGUCUCGCGGCCUAUCAGCUAGUUGGCGGGGUAACGGCCCACCAAGGCGACGACGGGUAGCUGGUCUGAGAGGAUGGCCAGCCACAUUGGGACUGAGACACGGCCCAGACUCCUACGGGAGGCAGCAGUGGGGAAUCUUGCGCAAUGGCCGCAAGGCUGACGCAGCGACGCCGCGUGUGGGAUGACGGCCUUCGGGUUGUAAACCACUGUCGGGAGGAACGAAUACUCGGCCUCGAAUAGGGGACCGAGGGUGACGGUACCUCCAAAGGAAGCACCGGCUAACUCCGUGCCAGCAGCCGCGGCAAUACGGAGGGUGCGAGCGUUGUCCGGAAUCACUGGGCGUAAAGGGCGCGUAGGCGGCUCGUUAAGUGGCUGGUGAAAUCCCGGGGCUCAACUCCGGGGCUGCCGGUCAGACUGGCGGGCUCGAGCACGGUAGAGGCAGAUGGAAUUCCCGGUGUAGCGGUGGAAUGCGUAGAGAUCGGGAAG
rnacentral:rRNA from 1 species